UAUGUUGGUCAUCUUCAAAAAUUGCACAUCAGCAUUUAAUCUGUGCCCUUUCCUUUCAUGUUCUUCCUCAAGGCCAUAAAUCACUCAAUUUGUAUGCCAAAUUCUCUGCUUGCAUUGCAGCAAGGGUUCACAGCAUCUUAAGCGUUCCGACUGCACACUGGGAUCCCAGUUAAUGGGCAGUAAAUCCUUAUUUCGCACGGCUCUACGGUGUGGAUUCUAUCAAACUGGGUGACAUACUUAGGCGGGUUCGAAAGGUAAAAUGUCGACUGGAGGGCUUCUCCUGCCAACACAUUUUUGUUUGCUCGCUGGAGUAAGGAAAGAAUCAUUAAACUAAGGCUGGCAGAACAUAUUUAGGAGAAUAAAAUACAUACAUCCUUUUAAAAUAAUUGUUUCACUGCUAUUAGAUUUGGCAAGCAUUCAAUAAGGAGAGUCGUGUGGGACACGAGGGGAUCAGGGGACGGCCUGAAGCUGGGACUCUAAAAAGGCAGCGAAGCCGCCGCUAAGGAACGGCCACACUCGGCCAACAUCAAAUGCCUGAGAUUCCCUCUGUUCUCCUCACUGAGCCAGUCUGCUGAUACUCUGUUUGCCCUGCAAAAAACAGCUGAUUGGUGCAACAGUGUGAGGAAUAAUCUUUUAGGAGUUCCGGAGAAAUGCCUUGAAUGAUUCCAUGAAAACGUAGGCCAUCUCAGCCCGGAUGUAUGAUACAGGUCUGACACAUGGAUCCCAAAGAGAUCAUCCUGCUGAUUUUAGUCACACCCGAGUAUGCGAAACCGCAGCAAAAAAAAAUCUCACAUGCAUCGUGAUUUUAUUCGUAGGAGGACAUUUUCAAGCUCCACGCAUUAAAAGCUCGGAGAUCACCUCUGCAGAGUUUGAAUAUGAACUUUAAUAACUGAACUAUGCACAUUUAAUGCUUUAUAGGACACAAGGGGAAAAGUGUGUCGGAGCACUGGGACAAAAAGGUGUGUAGGAAUAGUUACUCUCUUUAAAGUGAAAGUCACCCAACCUUCAACGGUUUCCAUGGGGACGGGGGGGUCAAUUCUUUGAGUAUCACUACUCUUGAUCCAAAUACUUACAUACUGAGUAUGAAUACUGACGUUAAUAGGAUUGAAUAACCCUCUGAAAGCUCACACAAGUUUUACUUUAGACGUAGUACAUCUGCUCUUUUACCUUUGAUUAUAUUACACUAUAUUAUCAGCUGUCAGACUUAUUUGGCCUCUGACCCGUCGCAUUCCUUGACAAAUCUACUACUCAGGUCAAGCUUCUCGCUGCAAUAUACUGCACCUGCUUCCACUGUCGCCAUCAAAGUCCGCCGACGCGCGUUCAGCUCAUAUCGAUGCGUACGUGUCACGAAUUCUCCAUCUUAUUAGUGUUUUCCUGCCUGCGUUCUUGUCAAUUAACUCUACUCGUUGUCAUUCCAGAUCCUGUCAUCAACAAGAAAUCACCUCAUUCUCUUCACCUGGUCCUCAUGCCCUUCCCACCUGCAACCCAUUCCCUCAUUAGCCCCUCACUAUUUAGGUCCCCACACUUCCAGAUUGUCUUGUGUGCAUGCCAAGUUUUCCGGCGGUUUUCCGGCGGUUUUCCGGCGGUUUUCCGAUUACCGAUAUCCCGUCCUGAACUAGCCUGCCUUCUCUUGACCACAAACUCUUCGCAUGCCUCGCCUUUUGGAUUUGUUUGCCUGUCGGAUUGCCAUCCUGUUUCUGAACCCUGCCUGUCCCCGUUUACGGAUUUGCUGCCUGCCCCUCUGGAUUUGUUUGACCAUUGGACUGCUAUCCCGGUUUUGACCCUGCCUGUAUAACAGAGGUGCCCAUUAAUACUUCAUUUCAUCUCAACUGGGGCCAGACUGUCUGGAACGACAAAAAGGGGACAAGCCACACAGUUCGCUGGAAGAGAAGCUAAAGGAACUCUCUUACAGUCUGCGCCUGCGUUUUGAUUGACAGGUGCUUCCUUUGACACAGUUAUAGCCUAAGCGAUCAGAAGUAUAACGGUCCAUCAGUCUUUUCUAAAGCACUAGAAGAAUGUUAACGUUUCAAGAUCUCGCAACAAGAACGACCAGUGCCAGGCCAUCUGAACCAAUUUUGCUUGUUUUUCUCCAUUUCAAGCUUUUAUGUAUAUUGACUAUUUAAACAGAUUAAUGUCCUGCCUGUGGAGGGAAAUUAUUCCUUUAAAGUGCAGGGGAAAAUUGCACUGGUCAAAUUUCUCUCUCUGCAUGCCCAAAGUGCAGUGAUGGCAGGAUUUCAGGAAAGAAAUAAUAGAUUUAGUUUUGAUCCCCGGUGCAUGGAGUUGUCUCCCCUCGGGGCCUGCGAGGGUUAAACUCUGAUCUGUAGACUGUGUGUGUGUGUGUGUGUGUGUGUGUGUGUGUGUGUGUGUGUGUGUGCGCGUGUGUCAUUAAAAAGAAAUAUUGCUUCAUAAAAACCUGCUGCACUGCAGCCAUGACUCCUGUUAAUGCAGAAUGUUGUUGGUGUAUGUCUCUGGGAGGUGAAAUUGAACGUUUUUUUUUCAUCUAUCCUUUGAUUGCAAAGGCCAUUAUUGUUAAGCAUUUAAACCAUUGACCCUACAGUGAAAAAUACUGAGAGACACCUUUCUGAUUACUUGCAACUGUUUACUUGCAUUGAUGCUCCAAGCAAUCCACAUCCACAACUCAUGCUUGGCGUAAUGAACUUAGGUAGUCCAGUCCACAAUGUCCAGAGGUAAUAUAGGCUCCAGCAUCCCUCUCCACCAGUCAUUUGCAAUGCAAUUUGCAAUUAAAACGCUCCGCAGCGGCCAUCUGGAGAUGAGAGCACUGAGAAUGAGCACAUAACAUUCUACCCUUUUGCUGGGAAAAAUGUUGACCUGAAAGGGCUUUAAAGCAAACACGCUCUAAAAAGCCCGAACGAGAAGAAAACGAGGAAUAGAAAAACGUUUUCCACCGCGCAUGCGCACGUCUGCAGAUAGCUCCGCUCAACACGCUGAUCGGAUGUAGGUACGAUGUUUAAACGUUUAGUAAAAUGUGCAAUUUCGUGUCUUUUCAUGUCGGACCUUCUACUCAACUGAAUAAUUAAGAAUAAGCGGAAUUGUAAUAAUUGAAAAUAAAACACAAAAUACAUAUUUGACCACAUCUGCGCAGCGUGGCGCCCAUUCUCAGUAGUAAAAACUAGCGGGGUUUCGUAAAACCGGUAGGUGGCAGUGAAUGUUCUCAAGUGGAGAAGGCAAAGUUGUAGGGGAGUGGAGUGUGUGUGUCUGUGUCUG